rnacentral:rRNA from 1 species
AGUGAACGCUGGCGGUAGGCCUAACACAUGCAAGUCGAACGGCAGCACAGUAAGAGCUUGCUCUUACGGGUGGCGAGUGGCGGACGGGUGAGGAAUACAUCGGAAUCUACUUUUUCGUGGGGGAUAACGUAGGGAAACUUACGCUAAUACCGCAUACGACCUACGGGUGAAAGUAGGGGAUCUUCGGACCUUGCGCGAUUGAAUGAGCCGAUGUCGGAUUAGCUAGUUGGCGGGGUAAAGGCCCACCAAGGCGACGAUCCGUAGCUGGUCUGAGAGGAUGAUCAGCCACACUGGAACUGAGACACGGUACAGACUCCUACGGGAGGCAGCAGUGGGGAAUAUUGGACAAUGGGCGCAAGCCUGAUCCAGCCAUACCGCGUGGGUGAAGAAGGCCUUCGGGUUGUAAAGCCCUUUUGUUGGGAAAGAAAAGCAGCAGGUUAAUACCCCGCUGUUCUGACGGUACCCAAAGAAUAAGCACCGGCUAACUUCGU